GGAACUCUUUGUUCAGUAUCUAGCCACCUAUUCCUACCGACAUGGCAGUGGAAGAGAAAAGAAAGCUCUCACUUACAGUGAUUUAUCAAACACUGCAGAGGAGUCGGAAACUUUUCAGUUUCUUGCAGACAUAUUACCAAAGAAGAUUUUAGCUAGUAAAUAUCUGAAAAUGCUUAAAGAGAAGAGGGGAGAAGAGGAGGAGAAUGACGACGACGACGAUGAGAGUGAUGAUGAAGCGGAAUCCUAAGCCAAAAAGAAAUGCGUUAGUGACCGGCCGGGGAGCACGGCUCCGGGAUGAACACCUUUGCUCCGAGCAAGCGUCUGCUCACUCUCGAGACACCCCAGGGACACCACGUUCCUUCCUGGCUGAGAUGGGGCGUGAGGUGCCUCUGCUGUAAAUAGCCCAAAGCAGAGCGUCUCUUUCCCAGGCCCACGCUGCAACCGGAGUGGGGGUCCAAACAAGGGGCUGCGAGCUGGGGUCACAGCCAGUCUGCAGCUCUAAGCCGUUGAGGCCAAGGCAGCUUUGCUUAGCUUUGUAGCUUACAGAUAGAUUUUGAAGAACUUCUAAAUAUCAGUUGUAUAAAUUCACAUGUGUAUAUUUUGAAAUUAGUUUUUGUAAACAGCCAGAUCCGGUUUUAGCUAAAAUACGUGGUCUAUGGGUAGUAUGUUACAUCUGAAUUUUUGUAUUUCAAGAAAAUUUGUUUGGCUUUGUAUUUGUUCAAAUAUUGCAUUUUUUUAAACUGUAAAGAAAUAACUUUUUAAAUUAAAAGCUAGACUUUUUACAGUAAAGUGUUUUAUGGAACUAGUUUUAUUAAAACCCUUUAUUAUUCUAAUGCCUUGGUUAUUCUGAGACAUUUGUGAAAUAUAAAAAUAAGCACUUUCUCUUACAUUUAUUCCUGAAGAAAAAUUUUAAGCGAAAUUAUUAAGUCAGAUACAAUAAGAAAUAGUACUUCUGCAUAGUGUAUUUUUCUUUCCUUUUUUUUUUUUUUUUUUUUUCUUUUUAGGGCCACCCCUGAAGCAUGCGGAAGUUCCCAGGCUAGGGGUCAAAUCAGAGCUGCAGCUGCCAGCCUACACCACAGCCACAGCAACUCGGGAUCCGAGCCUCAUCUUCAACCUACACCACAGCUCAUGGCAAUGCCAGAUCCUUAACCCACUGAGCAAGACCAGGGAUCGAACCUGCAUCCUCAUGGACACUAGUCAGGUUUUACUUCUGAGCUACGAUGGAAACUCUCUCUUUUUUUUUUUUUUUUUAUUUUCCCACUGUACAGCAAGGGGGUCAGGUACAGCAAGGGGGUCAGGGGAAACUCUCUUAAGUGUACUUUUCUUAAAAAACAUUUAAGACAUUUUGUAUAUCGGGGAAUCUCUACACUUACUGUUCCUUUCUUUACACUCUCGGGAAUCGUUUUUACUGUCCACAAGAGAAGACACUAAGCACUAUUUUUUUUUCGCAUAGGGUUAAAUUUUGUCUCUCUUUUUAAAAAAACUGAGUUCUGAUUUCCCUCCAGUGAAAUCUUUUGGUUUUUUUUUUUUUUUUGCUUUUUAGGGCCACACCCGAGGCAUAUCAGAGUUCCCAGGCUAGGGGUCAAAUCAGAGCUACAGCUGCCAGUCUACACCACAGCUCACGGCAACGCCAGAUCCUUAACCCACUGAGCAAGGCCGGGGAUUGAACCGGCAACCUCAUGGUUCCUAGUCAGAUUUGUUUCUGAUGCGCCAUGACGGGAACUCCGGUGAAAUCACUCUUUAAUGUCCGUUCUCUUGGCUGUGUAAGCAGUCAGUAUACAGGACAGUUCCAUCACCCCAAAUACUCCUCUUUACCCCUUGUUAGUUCCUCCCCUCACCCCAGGCAAUCACUAAUGUUUUCUGGACGUUUUAAAAUUUAUUUAAAAUAUUUUGAAAUCCACUUUUUGGGGGGAGUUCCUGCUAUGGCGCAGAGGAUCUGGCGUUGCUGCAGCUGUGGCAUAGAACCACUUUUUGGGAGUUCCUUGUGGCUCAGCAGGUUAAGGAUCUGGUUGUUAACUGGAGUGGCUUUUGGUUGCUGCUGUGGCAUGGUUGGACCCCUGGCUCAGGAACUUCCAUAUGCUGUGGGUGGAGCAAAAAAAAAAAAGCAUGUAAUUAUCAGAGUUGUGAUUAAAAAAAUACAUCUAACUUGGUUUAUCUCAAUUAUUACAUUUUCUGUAAGGAACAUAUUUUUUCAAAAAGUCAGAAAAUAUGGGAACAAAACUUUGACCUUCUUUAGCAACAAUGUAUAUCCUAGGGAUUUUCAGCUAUUUUUUGGUUUUCUUAGGCCAACCUACCUUUCCCAACACCAGGUACAGACAGAAAUCAGACACAGCCAGAGCAAGCAGCCUGGCAGAAGGUGUUCAGUGACCCACCAGGCCUGCACCCCAGGUGUGGGCAGCACCGAUUCCCACGACACGGAGCUUAGGGCUCUGCACUUGCUUGGGGUUUAGCUGAAUGGCUUUUGACUCCCUUCCUCAAGGCUGCCAGAGAAGGAAGACCCAGCUCAUGCCAGACACAUCUGUUCUACCCAGUGCCCUCCCGGAGUGUGUGUGCCCAGCCCCCACAUCCUCGGGGUAAUGCCUGGCUCUGCUGAGUCCACUGUUGAAGGAACAGGCCUGUACAGAAUAAGGCUUUAGACUUCAGUCACCGAAGGCAGGUUUCCAUCUCAGAAGCCUGGAAUCUGAGCCUGUGCUGAAGGAAGUGCCCAAAUAAAUGAGUAAUAGAAGCGCUUUUGGAGAGGCAGCUGUAAAUACGAGGAAUUUUAUUUUAUUUUUUGCUGACAUACUAUGAGGCAAAACAAAAUUGACACCAUACAAAAUAACUUUAUAAAAUAUCAUUCACAUCAUAUUUUAUCAGAUUUACAGCAUUCUGUGCAUGUUAAGGGUUAUGUAAGGAGGUGAAAAAACACUAUGCCAAACUUUUAGUAUUAGUUUAUAUACACACAAUAAGAAACAAAACAAGUAACUGUUAGGUUUUCCAUGAAUUUAUUGCAAAAAUAGUGCAAACUACUUAACCUAGUAAGCUGUAAAACAAACUCGAAAGGACCCAGCUAAGCUUAAACACGACAAUAGAUGCUCAGUGUCUCAGCCUGUAGCUUUCUUCACCAGUUUGUCUUUGUCAGUCAAGACCACUCCCCAUCUGUUCAGUUGAGGGCGAGUGCUGGGGAACAGAGAUGUGUGAAGACUGGCUCUUCAGAGGCCAGAUCGAUGCGGCUGCCUGGUGCCAGCAAUACCUUUAGGGUCAUGCUACUUACUUACUCAAUGGCAAUUUGGUGAGGUCUGUGUGGAAAAUUGGAAGAUGCCAUGAUAUUUAAAUCUGACUUUAGAAACAAGUUGUCCAACCUCUUGAUGAAAUGGAGAAAAGAAUUAAGAAAGCAGCAUGAACAGAAAGGACUGGGAACAUUAUUGUCUGCUUAUAAACAUGGUAUCCUUUUCUCAGGUGUAUCUGGGUAAAGUAUUCAUCUACGGGUGGGCAACCUUUGAACCAGAGAGUUAAAAAAAAAAAAAAAAAAAGUUACUGUAUCCCUACAAGAGUAACUUUAAAAUCUCUUUCAACAGUCUAUUGGGGUCCAAAAAGCAUAUAUCUAAACAAAAUAAUACAAGCAGAACAUAACGCUACGUCUAAAAGCUAAAGAAACAAGAUGCAGCAUAUUCAGGCUCUUUUUCUUGAGGUACCUACAUAAAUUUCAUUACCUGCCCCAAAGUACUCAUGUUAGGUAAAAAACAAAAUGCUUACUGGUGAGCCAAUUGUAGGGCAUUUAUUAUUAUUGAGAAAGUGCAACAACGCUGAUCUUUAUAUGCAGCAUACUAAAGGAUGAUUUACUCUUUACAAAAUAUAGCUUAAGUAUCGACCUGAUGGAAGUUUAAAAAUUAAAAACAUUUAACUAGAAUCAUCCCAUUUUUGUUUGAGAUCCUGCAGCAAAAAGCCUCCCCAGAAUCAACUUUCAAAGUUUUGCCACUAAGGAAUGUUGGUUCUCUUGUAAAAUUCAGAGAUCUCUUUAAAAUAGUAAAACUAUACACUACAGGAAAGAUCCCUAAUUUUUAUUUCUUAUUGGUAUAAAAUCAAAUUCUUAAGACUCCAAAAUAUUGUGUUACCUCCAAAGAAUUACAUUAAAAAAGACUGCCACAGUAGGAAAAGUCUAGACUUGUAAACUGCCAAAUAUAAAAGCAUGGAAAGUCAUCGAUCUCCUAUCUUAUUUUCUCACCUGCCAGAAAGCUUUCGUAACUUACAGAACCCCUGGGCGAGGUGGGGUGGUUCUCAUAGCACCCCCCGCCCCCCAGACGGCCAAGGGUUCUCCCCUCCUCUGUCAAGUUCACCAACACCCCCACCAGGAGGUAGGAAAAGAUGAAACCGACAACCAUCCAUCCGCUGCUCAUGAAAUCAACUCAUAAAGCCUGCCAGAGGGACGGGGGCACUCGAGGUGAGAAAAAGCAAUGACGGGUAUUUGUGAGUGUUUUGGCCGCCCCUCCACUGGCACAGAAAAUGAAGUGAGAGCUACAAAUAUAUGCAUAGAAGAGUUUGGAAUUUGCCUGUAAAAUGUCGAGUUUGCUCUUGGACAUAAUUCUUUUUUUUUCCUUUCACAAAAGGGCAGUUGGGAUUCCAAUAAAUGUUAGCAGUUGGCUGGGGUGUUCUAUCAAAUUCCAUGGCCAAUUGGGCUUUUUCUCCCCACAUACAAUAUAAAACAUUUAAAUUCCAUACUGAUUUUUUCAAUGCAUUAGGAUUCAACACAAAAGGCACAAAAUAAAUAAAAGUAUUAUUA
rnacentral:lncRNA from 1 species